CUGUAAUCUUAUCCAAGCUUCAUUAUUCUUGCCGCAAUGUACAGGCCGCAUUACAAAUUCAUGCACCAUUCUACUACUAAAUUGCUCAUCUUCUUCUAUAUACAUAAAAACUCCAUAAGUAAAUUCAUAGAAAUUACUGCACAUCAUAGAACAUUGUUGAUUUGAACCUAUAAAAUCUAUAAAAUCUUUAAGGUACUCACGAUUUGAAUAUUGAGUGAUCAUGGCAGAAAAUCAUUGAUUUGGAGAAAGUAUAUAUUCCAAAGACAUGUGCAUAAAUAAUUCGAAAAAUAAUAUUUGUAAGCAAAUUUAAGAAAUCUAAAAAAACAGAGAACUUAUAUUUGUAAAAAUUCUAAAAUACAUAAAAAUAUAAAAAUUUAGAUCUUCGAAAAGACCCCAAGAAAUCUCCUCGCACUAACCCGUGUGUGGAUGCCCUGCGAAGGGCCCUUUGCACACAGAAUCAUUACAGCCUCCGUGGCGAGGGCCAUAAGGCCUCCGUGGAGGCCAAGUAAGCCCUCGUGCACAGAGGGAGGCUUUUGUAAACGGCCCCGUUCACGGAGGCGGAGUCCUCCUUUUUGGCUCCUCGCACGGUGGCCCUUCACCUAAAUUGUGAACUGAAUUUCUCAAAUAAAUGCUUACUUUGGGUGGUAAUUUCUUCUACUAUAGUUGCCUUUGAGAUCUAGGUGAAAUUUUUGAGAUAGAGAAUGAGAUAAGGAUAAGGAAUGAAAUAAAUUAUAUGUGUGAUAGUAAAAG
rnacentral:lncRNA from 1 species